UACGGGGGGGGCAAGCGUUGUUCGGAAUUACUGGGCGUAAAGGGCGCGUAGGUGGCCAACUAAGUCAGACGUGAAAUCCCUCGGCUUAACCGGGGAACUGCGUCUGAUACUGGAUGGCUUGAGUUUGGGAGAGGGACGCGGAAUUCCAGGUGUAGCGGUGAAAUGCGUAGAUAUCUGGAGGAACACCGGUGGCGAAGGCGGCAUCCUGGACCGGCAUUGACGCUGAGGAGCGAAAGCCAGGGGAGCAAACGGG
rnacentral:rRNA from 1 species